AACAACAGAUGAUGCCUAUCAACUGUUUUAAAAGAAUGGUUACUGCUAUCACUCUUGGAUGGACCUGCGGUGCAUUAGCUAGUUGGUAGGGUAACGGCCUACCAAGGCGAUGAUGCAUAGCCCGAGUUGAGAGACUGAUCGGCCACAUUGGGACUGAGACACGGCCCAAACUCCUACGGGAGGCAGCAGUAGGGAAUCUUCCACAAUGGACGCAAGUCUGAUGGAGCAACGCCGCGUGAGUGAAGUAAGGGUUUCGGCUACGUAAAGCUCUGUUGUUGGUGAAGAAGACGAGGGGUAGUAACUGACCUUUGUUUGACGGUAAUCAAUUAGAAAGUCACGGCUAACUACGUGCCAGCAGCCGCGGUAAU
rnacentral:rRNA from 1 species